rnacentral:rRNA from 1 species
GACGAACGCUGGCGGCGUGCUUAACACAUGCAAGUCGAACGGAAAGGCCCUGCUUUUGUGGGGUGCUCGAGUGGCGAACGGGUGAGUAACACGUGAGUAACCUGCCCUUGACUUUGGGAUAACUUCAGGAAACUGGGGCUAAUACCGGUUAGGAGCUCCUGCUGCAUGGUGGGGGUUGGAAAGUUUCGGCGGUUGGGGAUGGACUCGCGGCUUAUCAGCUUGUUGGUGGGGUAGUGGCUUACCAAGGCUUUGGCGGGUAGCCGGCCUGAGAGGGUGACCGGCCACAUUGGGACUGGGAUACGGCCCAGACUCCUACGGGAGGCAGCAGUGGGGAAUAUUGCACAAUGGGCGGAAGCCUGAUGCAGCAACGCCGCGUGCGGGAUGACGGCCUUCGGGUUGUAAACCGCUUUCGCCUGUGACGAAGCGUGAGUGACGGUAAUGGGUAAAGAAGCACCGGCUAACUACGU